GCCGUGUGGCCUGCUGCCUCUGCCAAUUUAAAAAUACCAUUGAGGUUGUCUAAGAGAGUCAAGCUGUGUUCUGACAGUGGAUGCCUGACAGACGUCACACGUUGUGAUGAAGAAACAUCUAUAGGGAAUGCAGAAGGAUCGUUGAUGAAGGUGUUACAAGCCUGGAA